rnacentral:rRNA from 1 species
UACGUAGGGGGCAAGCGUUGUCCGGAUUUACUGGGCGUAAAGGGCGCGUAGGCGGCGCAACAAGUCACUUGUGAAAUCUCCGGGCUUAACCCGGAGCGGCCAAGUGAUACUGUCGUGCUAGAGUGCGGAAGGGGCUACUGGAAUUCUCGGUGUAGCGGUGAAAUGCGUAGAUAUCGAGAGGAACACCUGCGGCGAAGGCGGGUAGCUGGGCCGACACUGACGCUGAGGCGCGAAAGCCAGGGGAGCGAACGGG